UACGUAGGGUGCAAGCGUUGUCCGGAAUUAUUGGGCGUAAAGAGCUCGUAGGCGGUCUGUCGCGUCUGCUGUGAAAACUCGGGGCUCAACCCCGGGCCUGCAGUGGGUACGGGCAGACUAGAGUGCGGUAGGGGAGACUGGAAUUCCUGGUGUAGCGGUGAAAUGCGCAGAUAUCAGGAGGAACACCGGUGGCGAAGGCGGGUCUCUGGGCCGUAACUGACACUGAGAGACGAAAGCUAGGGGAGCGAAUGGG
rnacentral:rRNA from 1 species